rnacentral:rRNA from 1 species
GACGAACGCUGGCGGCGUGCCUAAUACAUGCAAGUAGAACGCUGAAGGAGGAGCUUGCUUCUCUGGAUGAGUUGCGAACGGGUGAGUAACGCGUAGGUAACCUGCCUGGUAGCGGGGGAUAACUAUUGGAAACGAUAGCUAAUACCGCAUAAGAGUAGAUGUUGCAUGACAUUUGCUUAAAAGGUGCAAUUGCAUCACUACCAGAUGGACCUGCGUUGUAUUAGCUAGUUGGUGAGGUAACGGCUCACCAAGGCAACGAUACAUAGCCGACCUGAGAGGGUGAUCGGCCACACUGGGACUGAGACACGGCCCAGACUCCUACGGGAGGCAGCAGUAGGGAAUCUUCGGCAAUGGACGGAAGUCUGACCGAGCAACGCCGCGUGAGUGAAGAAGGUUUUCGGAUCGUAAAGCUCGGUUGUAAGAGAAGAACGAGUGUGAGAGUGGAAAGUUCACACUGUGACGGUAUCUGACCAGAAAGGGACGGCUAACUACGUG